CGCGUUGGAACACCUGAAGGACUGCCAUCUCUCUAUAUCAUCUGUUAUAACGGACAGGCACCCAUCCAUUCGAAAACACAUGCGCGAAAAGGAACCUGACAUAAAACAUGCCUUUGACACAUGGCAUGUUGUGAAGGGGUUGCAGAAGAAACUAGAGGCAGCGUCACGCAGCGCAGGAUGCAGUGACCUUAAGCCGUGGAUAACCUCCAUUUGUUAUCACCUUUAUUGGUGUAAUGCAGUGUCGCAAGGAAACCCUGAACUUCGACUCGGCAUAUGGAACAGCUUGAAGCGCCAUGUGCUGAAUAUACACACAGAACAUGAAGGACCGUACUCUAGGUGCUUACAUGGAAACAUUAGGGGAACCAAAUGGCUAAAAGCAGACUCUGUGUCAUAUCACAAGCUUGUCAAGAUCGUUACGGACC